UACGAAGGGGGCUAGCGUUGCUCGGAAUCACUGGGCGUAAAGGGUGCGUAGGCGGGUUUUAAGUCAGGGGUGAAAUCCUGGAGCUCAACUCCAGAACUGCCUUUGAUACUGAAGAUCUUGAGUCCGGAAGGAGGUGAGUGGAACUGCGAGUGUAGAGGUGAAAUUCGUAGAUAUUCGCAAGAACACCAGUGGCGAAGGCGGCUCACUGGCCCGGUACUGACGCUGAGGUGCGAAAAGCGUGGGGA
rnacentral:rRNA from 1 species